UACGUAGGCAGCGAGCGUUGUUCGGAGUUACUGGGCGUAAAGAGUGCGUAGGCGGUUUUCUAAGUUUGGUGUGAAAUCUCCCGGCUUAACUGGGAGGGUGCGCCGAAAACUGGAAGGCUUGAGUAUGGGAGAGGUAAGCGGAAUUCCUGGUGUAGCGGUGAAAUGCGCAGAUAUCAGGAGGAACACCAAUGGCGAAGGCAGAUCUCUGGGCCGUAACUGACGCUGAGGAGCGAAAGCAUGGGGAGCGAACAGG
rnacentral:rRNA from 1 species